rnacentral:rRNA from 1 species
UACGAAGGGGGCGAGCGUUGUUCGGAUUUACUGGGCGUAAAGCGCGCGUAGGCGGGUCUUUAAGUCAGGGGUGAAAUCCCAAGGCUCAACCUUGGAACUGCCUUUGAUACUGGGGAUCUUGAGUCCGGGAGAGGUGAGUGGAACUGCGAGUGUAGAGGUGAAAUUCGUAGAUAUUCGCAAGAACACCAGUGGCGAAGGCGGCUCACUGGCCCGGUACUGACGCUGAGGUGCGAAAGCGUGGGGAGCAAACAGG